rnacentral:rRNA from 1 species
UGGGGAAUAUUGCGCAAUGGGCGAAAGCCUGACGCAGCAACGCCGUGUGAGGGAUGAAGGCUUUCGGGUCGUAAACCUCUGUCAGAAGGGAAGAACGGGCAUUGGUCUAAUAGGCCUUUGUUUUGACGGUACCUCCAGAGGAAGCACCGGCUAACUCCGUGCCAGCAGCCGCGGUGAUACGGAGGGUGCAAGCGUUAUUCGGAAUUACUGGGCGUAAAGCGCACGUAGGCCGCUUUGUAAGUCAGGGGUGAAAUCCCACGGCUCAACCGUGGAACUGCCCUUGAAACUGCGAAGCUUGAAUCCUGGAGAGGGUGGCGGAAUUCCUGGUGUAGGAGUGAAAUCCGUAGAUAUCAGGAGGAACACCGGUGGCGAAGGCGGCCACCUGGACAGGUAUUGACGCUGAGGUGCGAAAGUGUGGGGAGCAAACAG